CACGUAGGGUGCGAGCGUUGUCCGGAAUUAUUGGGCGUAAAGAGCUCGUAGGCGGUGUGUCGCGUCGGCCGUGAAAACCUGCAGCUUAACUGUGGGCUUGCGGUCGAUACGGGCAUCACUGGAGUUCGGCAGGGGAGACUGGAAUUCCUGGUGUAGCGGUGAAAUGCGCAGAUAUCAGGAGGAACACCGGUGGCGAAGGCGGGUCUCUGGGCAACUACUGACGCUGAGGAGCGAAAGCGUGGGGAGCGAACAGG
rnacentral:rRNA from 1 species